AUACGUAGGGGGCGAGCGUUGUCCGGAAUUAUUGGGCGUAAAGGGUACGCAGGCGGCCAUGUAAGUCAGAUGUGAAAGAUCACGGCUUAACCGUGGUAAGCAUUUGAAACUGCUUGGCUUGAGUUAAGGAGAGGAAAGUGGAAUUCCUAGUGUAGCGGUGAAAUGCGUAGAUAUUAGGAAGAAUAUCAGUGGCGAAGGCGACUUUCUGGACUUAUACUGACGCUGAGGUACGAAAGCGUGGGGAGCAAACAGGAUUAGAUACCCUGGUAGUCCACGCUGUAAACGAUGAGUGCUAGGUGUCGGGGGUCAAACCUCGGUGCCGCCGUUAACACAUUAAGCACUCCGCCUGGGGAGUACGUUCGCAAGAAUGAA
rnacentral:rRNA from 1 species